GUCGCGUAAGUUCCGACCUGCACGAAUGGUGUAACCAUGGCCACGCUGUCUCCACCCGAGACUCAGUGAAAUUGAAAUCGCAGUGAAGAUGCUGUGUACCCGCGGCUAGACGGAAAGACCCCGUGAACCUUUACUACAGCUUGGCACUGAACAUUGAGCCUACAUGUGUAGGAUAGGUGGGAGGCUUUGAAGUGGUUACGCCAGUAAUCAUGGAGCCAUCCUUGAAAUACCACCCUUGUAUGUUUGAUGUUCUAACGUUGGCCCCUGAAUCGGGGUUGCGGACAGUGCCUGGUGGGGAGUUUGACUGGGGCGGUCUCCUCCCAAAGAGUACCGGAGGAGCACGAAGGUU
rnacentral:rRNA from 1 species